CCACCGACCCUGCCCUGGGCCAUCGUGGAGGAGGUAAAUCACAGGAUGUGCCUCCCAGGAGCCAGGGUGGAGAGCACAUGGAUAGGCCAAGGCUGUUAACCCAUAUGGUAACUCCCGCUUGCAACAAAGUCAAUUCCACCUUGCGGGGAAUCGAACUCUGCACACUGCCGCGCUGAGCCCUAUCCGCCCUCCCCUUUGCCACUGGGAGAUAUGCCCUGG
rnacentral:lncRNA from 1 species